ACACCUUGUCCAUCAAGUGAAGCAUGGUUCAAACAUGAAGAAUGAUCAUCCUUGCAAGAACAGGAUGGAACCUUUUCUUGCCUUACAACAUCAGAACUGAAUCCGGAGUUGAGUGGCUGCUCAAAACUAGUUGGAAAAGAAUUCAGGUGAGCUGAAUUUUUUGCUCCAAAAUCUGGCAGGUGAGAUGGCUGAUUUGAGUCCAGAAUAUCUGGUGGGAGUCUAGAUGAAGAACCCACCUUCCCAGAUAGACCAUACACGUUAUCAAUAGCAGAGGGAUCCAAACCAUAGGGUGGUUGCUGCUGCUGCAGAUAUUCAGAGCCAACAGUA
rnacentral:lncRNA from 1 species